UACGUAGGGUGCGAGCGUUGUCCGGAAUUACUGGGCGUAAAGAGCUCGUAGGUGGUUUGUCGCGUUGUUCGUGAAAACUCACAGCUCAACUGUGGGCGUGCGGGCGAUACGGGCAGACUUGAGUACUGCAGGGGAGACUGGAAUUCCUGGUGUAGCGGUGGAAUGCGCAGAUAUCAGGAGGAACACCGGUGGCGAAGGCGGGUCUCUGGGCAGUAACUGACGCUGAGGGGCGAAAGCGUGGGGAGCGAACAGG
rnacentral:rRNA from 1 species